GACGAACGCUGGCGGCGUGCCUAAUACAUGCAAGUCGAGCGGACUGAUUAAGAGCUUGCUCUUAUGACGUUAGCGGCGGACGGGUGAGUAACACGUGGGCAACCUGCCCUGUAGAUCGGGAUAACACCGAGAAAUCGGUGCUAAUACCGGGUAAUAUCUGAGAUCACAUGAUCUUAGGUUAAAAGAUGGCUCCGGCUAUCACUACAGGAUGGGCCCGCGGCGCAUUAGCUAGUUGGUAAGGUAAUGGCUUACCAAGGCGACGAUGCGUAGCCGACCUGAGAGGGUGAGAGGCCACACUGGGACUGAGACACGGCCAAGACGCCUACGGGAGGCAGCAGUAGGGAAUCUUCCGCAAUGGACGAAAGUAUGACGGAGCAACGCCGCGUGAGUGAUGAAGGGUUGCGGCUCGUAAAGCGAUGUUGUUAGGGAAGAAACAGUACCGAACGAACUAGGUCGGUACCUUGACGGUACCUAACCAGAAAGCCACGGCUAACUACGUG
rnacentral:rRNA from 1 species